GAAUGAGCAUGUUGGGCAAAGGAGCCUGGCCUCAUUUCCAUCCUGGCUUCACAAAAGUUGUCUGAAAACAAAGCAGAAGAGAAAGAUGAUGCAUCUGAGGACCUGGCUCUUCAUUAAAAACAUUUUGCAGAACAGUGGACUACUCGAGAAGCAAAUCAAUGCCCUAGCCUGCAGGUGUCUAAACAAGACUGGGCUAUGGCUUUAUCCUGCUAGAAAUACGAGGCUUGCGGGCACGGCAGCCAACUCUCCCCCACCGCAGCCAAUCAAAGGGGCGCUGCCGAAGCUGGGCUGCUCCUGUGAUAAAAGUGUAGGAAGCUCAUGGCUGCAGAGUAAUGCAGACAAAGCACGAGUGAGAGGGAGACAAAAAGAAUGGAGUCCCAGAGGAUGUAAUCCACCCUGUUAAAGGAAACGCCGUAACCUCUACAGCUGUGUUUAUGCUGCUUCAUGCAAUAGGCACCAGCCUCUCAUCCCUCGGGAGAUUUUUACAGCAUUAAUUCAUUCUGCACGAACUCAGCCAGCCAGGCUCCUCUUCAGCAGCGAGCUUUUCCAUCCCUCCAUCUCCCCCCGUUUCUGAGAGCCCUGCCAGCAGGAACUGCACCCCUCUGGCUGACCUUCCAUUGCUCUGGAUCAAAUGUGUCCUGUACCCAAUGAAGCAGAUCCYGAAGUGCCACGAAUGGACCCCAGGAUUCUUAUUUUCCUCCUGUACGUGAUGAUCCUCCACGAGCUGGUCAGUGGCUGGAUGGAGUAUCAAAAGCAAGUAGCCAAGCCAAAGAAGCAAGCGGGUCCAGUUUGGUCUUCUAGGUGAGUUAAUGCAUAUUAUGUUUUCAAAAGGUGAAUAGCUCAAUUCUUGAUGCAGGUGUGUUUUGAUGGGCAUGAUGAUUGCCUUUUGUAUACAUAUAUCUGUCCUUACGAAUGUGUGCAUGUGUAUAUCAUCUGUUGUGUAUUAAUGUACAGUGGUAGGAUUAGAUCUGUUCAUGUUCCGAAGCUGCACUGUCUGAGCAUAUCGUGGAUUGGACACACUCACAGAUACAACAUAUACCUGCGAAUUGUUAUUUUACAGAGACAUGCUGUAACUCAGCAUAUUUCUUGUGACUCAGGUUCCCAAUCAACUUAUCUUGAAGAGAAAAUGUG
rnacentral:lncRNA from 1 species